AGUGAACGCUGGCGGUAGGCCUAACACAUGCAAGUCGAACGGCAGCACAGUAAGAGCUUGCUCUUACGGGUGGCGAGUGGCGGACGGGUGAGGGAUACAUCGGAAUCUACUUUUUCGUGGGGGAUAACGUAGGGAAACUUACGCUAAUACCGCAUACGACCUACGGGUGAAAGCAGGGGAUCUUCGGACCUUGCGCGAUUGAAUGAGCCGAUGUCGGAUUAGCUAGUUGGCGGGGUAAAGGCCCACCAUGGCGACGAUCCGUAGCUGGUCUGAGAGGAUGAUCAGCCACACUGGAACUGAGACACGGUCCAGACUCCUACGGGAGGCAGCAGUGGGGAAUAUUGGACAAUGGGCGCAAGCCUGAUCCAGCCAUACCGCGUGGGUGAAGAAGGCCUUCGGGUUGUAAAGCCCUUUUGUUGGGAAAGAAAAGCAGCAGGUUAAUACCCCGCUGUUCUGACGGUACCCAAAGAAUAAGCACCGGCUAACUUCGUG
rnacentral:rRNA from 1 species